UAUUACUUUUUGGACUGACUCGACGA
rnacentral:sRNA from 1 species